UACGAAGGGGGCUAGCGUUGGUCGGAAUUACUGGGCGUAAAGCGCGCGCAGGCGGUCUUCCAAGUCAGUGGUGAAAGCCCGGAGCUCAACUCCGGAAUUGCCAUUGAAACUGUUAGACUUGAGGAUGAGAGAGGUGAGUGGAAUUCCCAGUGUAGAGGUGAAAUUCGUAGAUAUUGGGAAGAACACCGGUGGCGAAGGCGGCUCACUGGCCCGAUACUGACGCUGAGGCACGAAAGCGUGGGGAGCAAACAGG
rnacentral:rRNA from 1 species